GACAGAGGCUCCCUACAGAGAACAAUAACAUGGCGGCCGACCAGUGCAAAAGCUGUUAUACCCCCAGCAAAACCAGUGAAUGGCUGGAAGCCAGCGGAAAAUGACCUCAGGCGAAAGAAAAUCAAAACGUCUCAAUCAUGUUUUUUCUUAGAGGAUGGCAGCAUGGGGAUGGUUUUCAAGGCAUACCCAAAAGCAAGAAGCAUUCGAAACGGGAUCACUACAGUGAAGCUACCAAAGCGGGAAGAGAUUUGCUCAACCAAACAGUGGCUGAAGCGAUAUGGAAUCAGGAGUUUGAGGUUGGAUCUUCACAAGCUCAUCUCAGGGCCUGACUGCGUUCACCAUAAGAGACUUGUGCCAGACAGCCAGCAGAAAGGCUCUGCGAAGUACUGCGCCAUUCUUCCAAGCGUGGAGCUGAACGUGAGUGAGAGAUAUAGACAAGACAAAUGGAGAAUACAUAGCCUCCUAAAACUAUUCAUAAUGACAAGAGCAAUGGGAAUGCUUGCUGGCUACAUACUGACACCAUGGUCAAAAUGUCAAAUAUGGACAAUGCACUGACGAGAAGAAGGAGAUAAAUACAAACAGAAAGAGAG
ensembl:lncRNA